AAAUUGAAGAGUUUGAUCAUGGCUCAGAUUGAACGCUGGCGGCAGGCCUAACACAUGCAAGUCGAACGGUAACAGGAAGCAGCUUGCUGCUUUGCUGACG
rnacentral:rRNA from 4 species